rnacentral:sRNA from 15 species
GAGCCCAGGGACGAUAAUGAUAACAGGCCCGGCGCGGAUGACGCUGGCGGUCCGAAUAAAGCUGGAGGUGGCGGCAGGAACUGGGAUAGAGUGAGGAACUCGGUGCGGAGAUCGUUGAAGCCCUUGAGACGGAAAUCGUCCCUGAGGACCGAAACAACAGAGGAGAAACCGCCUGCCAAGCGAUAAAGGGCGGCCUGUGAUUUUAUUUUUGGUUACAAAUAAAUUGAAAAUAGUUCAAAGUUUUAGAAGAAA